rnacentral:lncRNA from 1 species
UUAGGACCUGAGGUUGAUUGACUUCACUCAUUGUGGACACAGAAUUUUCUUGGAUUAGGGUAGGGUUUGAAUCAAUUCUCACUAAACGACCAGAUUCUCUUUUCCAAGUUGCAAUCUUGUGAGAUUUUUAAUGAUUUUUUUUUGGUUAGAAGAGAGAAGAGAAAGGAGAGAUAGAUGAGAAGAGAAUUCUAAAGAUGAGAGCUUAGGGAGUCCUAAAUC